rnacentral:lncRNA from 1 species
AUGCUGGUCCACGCCCUUGAACUGCAGGCUCUGAGCAGGGAUUUCAGAGAGGCCUGGGCCAAGUCCCGCUGCUCCUGGUCCCCGAGUGGUGUGGCUGCAGCAUCCCCUCCGGAUCUAGGGCACUCCGGUCACCUCACAGGCGUCUGCAGACCCAGAAAAGCAGGACAGGGAGACGUGGGAGUCACCUCACAGCAGGAGGAAGGCGCGCCGCUGGUGAAGGGAAGCCAGGAGGGAGGGGUCAGGCCCGGCCUCGGGCUCACACAGGUGGGGCGGGACCACGGCCUCGCUGGCGUUCAGCCCCUUCGCCUCCAGAAGCUCAGUGAACAGCUCCAGCGCCUGCGGGUCGUCGUCCAGGGUGCGGCCUGCAGGCAGCGGGCGAGGGGCCUCUUUCACCGCCCCGCCACGUGGGGCUGGACGCCCACAGCCCUCCCAGGAACUCCAGGUGGAAGGGGUCCCGACUUGGCCGUGACGGGAGGGGCACCCAGCAGGCGCACAUCAGGGGCCCCACCCUCCCAGGUGAGGUCCGCAGACGGAGCAGCAUGGGGCCAGCCUGGGAGCCCAGCGCAGGUCAAGGCAGCGGUGACCCAGGGCGCAGGAAAACUGGGACGCAGGGGGGCGGCCGCAGAGGCAGGAGGUGGGCACUGGCAGAGGGGGACGCUUCAGAUAUGUUGGGCAGCAGGGCGAGGUGAGCAGGGUGGAGGAGGAGGACGGGGUGACCACCGGGGUCCAGGUGGACCGCACUGUGAGUGGGGAAAGCGCAGGUCAGGUGCGCGCCUGCGCACAUGCGCACGGCACCCCCACGCCCGCAGGCGCGCACGCUCACCGAAGAGCAUCACCAGGCUCAUCAUCUGGUUGUUGAUCUUGUCGUCGAAGAAGGCGACACCGUACGUCCUGGGUGUGAGCAGCCAGAUGUGGAUCAGGUGUUUCCACCCUGGAAGGACGGGGUUGGGGAGGAGCCAGACCGCCGGGUCCGCAGCACACAAGGCGGCGUCCCAUCCCGGAAGCAGGCAAAGAAGGAAGCAGCAAGAUGCGUCCACGGUGAUCACCUCCCCGUGUCAUCAGCAGAGGAAGCUAGCACCGUGGGAACAUCUCCAUGAAGUUUCCUCAGGAGCUGCGAUGGCCCCGUCACCCUGAAGGGGUGGAUACUGUGUCACCGGAAGAGGACUGCAGGAGGCUCCAUGCUCGGAACCGCAGGCGCCCCGCCCUGGCGGACAUGCGGACGGGGCGCACCGGCCCUCGUGGGCCCAGCACAGCCCCACCCCAGGGGACACAGGGAUGCACCCGGAAAGGCAGGCAGCAGGCACCCUGGAAGCGGCACGGAGACGCGCACCGGCCCUCAGGCUGGCUGGCGCCACGCAGUCGACAACCGCCAUGUCACAGAGAAGCACCGACACAAUAGGCCAGCCUGGAGACAUGCGUGAACCAUCCCGACAUGGAGAAACCUCUGGGAAAACGUGCCACACGGCGGGUCGCUCUUGGCCUUGCCCUUGAGAGCCAGAAAGGUCCAGAGUCAGCGGAGGAGCAGCUGAUGAACAAGGACUCAGAGAACACGAGAGUACUGACACCCAACGACUCAGAGGUCGAGCUUACUUGGGAUGCCAGAGCUGUUCGGGAGCCAGUAACCAGAAGGACCUUGCGCAACACCCGGGGAAACCCCCUGAAGGCCAUUCUUCCCCUAACUGUACAGGCUGCGGUGGAGGAGCAAGUGGAGCUCCGGAGAGGUCUGCACCGAGACUUCAUGGAUUACAUGGGUGCCCAAUAUUCAGAUUCUGUAGAACUGCCUUCAUGGAGAAGGAGGAGCCCUUCACAAGUAUAGAGGAAAAAGUGGAUGGCCCGUUGCUGGACACUGGUGCUGGUCUCUCGGUCCUUCUUUUCAGUCCUGGCCUGCCUUCCAGCCAUCACACCUCAGUGAGGGGAGUCACUGAUGAGGAGGUAUUUUUCCCAGCCCUUGGGCUGUAAGUACUUGUUGGAUUUUUCUUGCAUAUCUUUGUUUUCCUGAGAAACCACUUCGAGGAUGCCAACAUGUAUUGCAGCAGCCAUUGACGAUUUCCUACCAAUCUGUCCAUAACUCUGUAAUGUUUGCAUUGUUCCUAUGCUAUUUCGUAAAUGGAUGCAUGUUCGUUACUAUGUGUUUUCAAUAACAACCAUUGGGAAUAGUCAAUGAUUAUCUGAUUGAUCACUCAUGUAUAGCUCUGUUUGUUUUCCCUAGAGACCACUUUGGAGAAACCAGGGUAUAGUACAACAACCAUUGAUAAUUUCCUGCCGUUUUUGUCUGUAACUCACUAUUAUUUGUCUAUUUGUUUUCCUGAGAAACUAUCUUGAAGAUACCAAUAGGUAAAAUAACAACCAUUGAUAAUGUCUUAGCAUUUUGUCUGUAAUUUGGUGAAUCCCCCUAUUGCUAUGUUGUCC